GGGUUGUGAGGUUAAGCGACUAAGCGUACACGGUGGAUGCCCUGGCAGUCAGAGGCGAUGAAGGACGUGCUAAUCUGCGAAAAGCGUCGGUAAGGUGAUAUGAACCGUUAUAACCGGCGAUGUCCGAAUGGGGAAACCCAGUGUGAUUCGUCACACUAUCGUUAACUGAAUACAUAGGUUAACGAGGCGAACCGGGGGAACUGAAACAUC
rnacentral:rRNA from 1 species